rnacentral:rRNA from 1 species
GGGUUGUGAGGUUAAGCGACUAAGCGUACACGGUGGAUGCCCUGGCAGUCAGAGGCGAUGAAGGACGUGCUAAUCUGCGAAAAGCGUCGGUAAGGUGAUAUGAACCGUUAUAACCGGCGAUGUCCGAAUGGGGAAACCCAGUGCAAUUCGUUGCACUAUCGUUAACUGAAUACAUAGGUUAACGAGGCGAACCGGGGGAACUGAAACAUCUAAGUACCCCGAGGAAAAGAAAUCAACCGAGAUUCCCCCAGUAGCGGCGAGCGAACGGGGAGCAGCCCAGAGUCUGAAUCAGCUUGUGUGUUAGUGGAACGGUCUGGAAAGUCCGACGGUACAGGGUGAUAGUCCCGUACACCAAAAUGCACAGGCUGUGAACUCGAAGAGUAGGGCGGGACACGUGGUAUCCUGUCUGAAUAUGGGGGGACCAUCCUCCAAGGCUAAAUACUCCUGACUGACCGAUAGUGAACCAGUACCGUGAGGGAAAGGCGAAAAGAACCCCGGCGAGGGGAGUGAAAAAGAACCUGAAACCGUGUACGUACAAGCAGUGGGAGCACCUUCGGGUGUGACUGCGUACCUUUUGUAUAAUGGGUCAGCGACUUAUAUUCUGUAGCAAGGUUAACCGUAUAGGGGAGCCGCAGGGAAACCGAGUCUUAACUGGGCGUUAAGUUGCAGGGUAUAGACCCGAAACCCGGUGAUCUAGCCAUGGGCAGGUUGAAGGUUGGGUAACACUAACUGGAGGACCGAACCGACUAAUGUUGAAAAAUUAGCGGAUGACUUGUGGCUGGGGGUGAAAGGCCAAUCAAACCGGGAGAUAGCUGGUUCUCCCCGAAAGCUAUUUAGGUAGCGCCUCGUGAAUUCAUCUUCGGGGGUAGAGCACUGUUUCGGCUAGGGGGUCAUCCCGACUUACCAACCCGAUGCAAACUACGAAUACCGAAGAAUGUUAUCACGGGAGACACACGGCGGGUGCUAACGUCCGUCGUGAAGAGGGAAACAACCCAGACCGCCAGCUAAGGUCCCAAAGUCAUGGUUAAGUGGGAAACGAUGUGGGAAGGCACAGACAGCCAGGAUGUUGGCUUAGAAGCAGCCAUCAUUUAAAGAAAGCGUAAUAGCUCACUGGUCGAGUCGGCCUGCGCGGAAGAUGUAACGGGGCUAAACCAUGCACCGAAGCUGCGGCAGCGACACUAUGUGUUGUUGGGUAGGGGAGCGUUCUGUAAGCCUGCGAAGGUGUGCUGUGAGGCAUGCUGGAGGUAUCAGAAGUGCGAAUGCUGACAUAAGUAACGAUAAAGCGGGUGAAAAGCCCGCUCGCCGGAAGACCAAGGGUUCCUGUCCAACGUUAAUCGGGGCAGGGUGAGUCGACCCCUAAGGCGAGGCCGAAAGGCGUAGUCGAUGGGAAACAGGUUAAUAUUCCUGUACUUGGUGUUACUGCGAAGGGGGGACGGAGAAGGCUAUGUUAGCCGGGCGACGGUUGUCCCGGUUUAAGCAUGUAGGCUGGUUAUCCAGGCAAAUCCGGAUAAUCAAGGCUGAGGUGUGAUGACGAGGCACUACGGUGCUGAAGUAACAAAUGCCCUGCUUCCAGGAAAAGCCUCUAAGCAUCAGGUAACAUCAAAUCGUACCCCAAACCGACACAGGUGGUCAGGUAGAGAAUACCAAGGCGCUUGAGAGAACUCGGGUGAAGGAACUAGGCAAAAUGGUGCCGUAACUUCGGGAGAAGGCACGCUGGUGUGUAGGUGAAGCCCCUGCGGGUGGAGCUGAGACCAGUCGAAGAUACCAGCUGGCUGCAACUGUUUAUUAAAAACACAGCACUGUGCAAACACGAAAGUGGACGUAUACGGUGUGACGCCUGCCCGGUGCCGGAAGGUUAAUUGAUGGGGUUAUCCGUAAGGAGAAGCUCUUGAUCGAAGCCCCGGUAAACGGCGGCCGUAACUAUAACGGUCCUAAGGUAGCGAAAUUCCUUGUCGGGUAAGUUCCGACCUGCACGAAUGGCGUAAUGAUGGCCAGGCUGUCUCCACCCGAGACUCAGUGAAAUUGAACUCGCUGUGAAGAUGCAGUGUACCCGCGGCAAGACGGAAAGACCCCGUGAACCUUUACUAUAGCUUGACACUGAACAUUGAGCCUUGAUGUGUAGGAUAGGUGGGAGGCUUUGAAGCGUGGACGCCAGUCUGCGUGGAGCCAACCUUGAAAUACCACCCUUUAAUGUUUGAUGUUCUAACGUUGGCCCCUUACCGGGGUUGCGGACAGUGUCUGGUGGGUAGUUUGACUGGGGCGGUCUCCUCCCAAAGCGUAACGGAGGAGCACGAAGGUUAGCUAAUCCUGGUCGGACAUCAGGAGGUUAGUGCAAUGGCAUAAGCUAGCUUGACUGCGAGCGUGACGGCGCGAGCAGGUGCGAAAGCAGGUCAUAGUGAUCCGGUGGUUCUGAAUGGAAGGGCCAUCGCUCAACGGAUAAAAGGUACUCCGGGGAUAACAGGCUGAUACCGCCCAAGAGUUCAUAUCGACGGCGGUGUUUGGCACCUCGAUGUCGGCUCAUCACAUCCUGGGGCUGAAGUAGGUCCCAAGGGUAUGGCUGUUCGCCAUUUAAAGUGGUACGCGAGCUGGGUUUAGAACGUCGUGAGACAGUUCGGUCCCUAUCUGCCGUGGGCGCUGGAGAAUUGAGGGGGGCUGCUCCUAGUACGAGAGGACCGGAGUGGACGCAUCACUGGUGUUCGGGUUGUCAUGCCAAUGGCACUGCCCGGUAGCUAAAUGCGGAAGAGAUAAGUGCUGAAAGCAUCUAAGCACGAAACUUGCCCCGAGAUGAGUUCUCCCUGAGACUAUAAGUCUCCUGAAGGAACGUUAAAGACGAUGACGUUGAUAGGCCGGGUGUGUAAGCGCAGCGAUGCGUUGAGCUAACCGGUACUAAUGAACCGUGAGGCUUAACCUUACAACGCCGAAG